GACGAACGCUGGCGGCGUGCCUAAUACAUGCAAGUAGAACGCACAGUUUAUACCGUAGCUUGCUACACCAUAGACUGUGAGUUGCGAACGGGUGAGUGACGCGUAGGUAACCUGCCUGGUAGCGGGGGAUAACUAUUGGAAACGAUAGCUAAUACCGCAUAAUAUUGAUUAUUGCAUGAUAAUUGAUUGAAAGAUGCUAUUGCAUCACUACCAGAUGGACCUGCGUUGUAUUAGCUAGUAGGUGAGGUAACGGCUCACCUAGGCGACGAUACAUAGCCGACCUGAGAGGGUGAUCGGCCACACUGGGACUGAGACACGGCCCAGACUCCUACGGGAGGCAGCAGUAGGGAAUCUUCGGCAAUGGACGAAAGUCUGACCGAGCAACGCCGCGUGAGUGAAGAAGGUUUUCGGAUCGUAAAGCUCUGUUGUAAGAGAAGAACGGGUGUGAGAGUGGAAAGUUCACACUGUGACGGUAUCUUACCAGAAAGGGACGGCUAACUACGUG
rnacentral:rRNA from 1 species